UUGCUUCUUGAGAUCAAGGGUGGCAAAAGACUUGGCUGAACAAUGGAGUAGAGAACAUAAAAAGCUUCUUGAUGAUACACCUUCUCAGCCAACAAGACCGUAUUCUGCACCGGCUCUCUCACCAUCUCCUUUUAUGCCGAGAUCUGCAACACAUGUUUGUUAUUCUGGAAACAUUAGUUUACCGUCAGGCCUUCAAACAGAGAGAGCAGAAACAACAUUUUCCCCCAGAGGUUUAUUCAUUCAUAAUGAGAACACUCGUGGGAGCAUUCCUGUGGGAAGAACUCCUGUGAAUCAUCAUCUUGGCAGCAAUCCAGCAAGAUCUGAUUACUCAACCACAGGAAUUAGAUACCCGAGGAAUUUUGAAGCACACGACAUCAAAAAUCAGUUUGAGACAUCUACUUUACAUAGAGGAUUACUUGAAACGCCCAGGCAUGAGGUGCAAUCUCCUCCGGGUAGUAGUAUUACUCUUCCUCACUGGCUUAGUGAAGCACUGAAAAGAAAUCAAGAGAGAUUAGGAUUGGCUGACCCAAGCACUGGGCGGUCUAUACUUAAGAACGAGGAGAGAAUCUAUAAUCCCAAUUUUGAGAAUUUACCUGCUCCAGAUCAUACUGUGGCUUCUCAUGGAAAUGCUGGCGGUACAAGGGUGGAUGAACCAUGGUUCCCAGAGAGAUCAUGCAUGAUUCCUGUUCGAGGCAUAACUUUUCAGGGUUUUCCAUCAGUUGAUCCAGGAUGGGAUACAAAAAGUUUUGAUUCAUCUGCACCCAGUACCUUGGGUAUGAUUAUUGGGGAAACAUCCAAGGAUGCAGUUGAUGCAGGUUUAGGUCCAAAUAAUGCAUUAGAUUGGAAUAAGAAAAGUUCUGGUUCAGUUGGACCCAGUAACUUGGGAAUGAUUCAUGAGGACACAUCCUCAGAAGACACCAUAUCAGAUGAUCAGAUAGGAAAGAACCAGACAUACAAGAAACUGGUUUGAAAUUGGCCAUUUAUACAGGUUUUCUUUUCUUUCUUAUGGGCCUCUCUAUUUCUGCUGUUUAUGCAUGGCCAUUUAUGUUUCCCUUAAUAUAUUGUUGGUGUAGAUAAUUAUCAGAUUAGGAUGGCUAUAUUCACUUAAAGCUCUCUUUGUCUUCCUCUUGUAGACAUGACAAUGCACUGUUUACCAAGACUUCAAUCUGCUAAGAUGCAUUAUUGUGGAACUUAUCCUAUGACUUUUGUCUUCUUUGCAUAUGUACUUUUAUACAAAGCUAUUUCUUCUAAGGAAAUUGAGUACCAAAUUCUGUUAAUUCUAUUUUCUUAAAAAAGAAGAUCUUGUUAAUCUACAUCCAAAAGAUGAUAAAGUAAACUUGUACUGUUUCUGGUUCUCAUCAAGCAGAUUAAUCUACACAUCAGUGUGUUAUAGUUGUGGUAAACCAAGUCAUUAUGAAUGUUAUAAUCUCGAUAUGUGAAUGGAUUACAUCAGCAAAGUUUCUUGUUGUCUCUUGUAUGUGCAAAAACGAGUCACUUGGAUGAACUAACAAAUUAAAGAGUUUCCAGAAUGACAGUAUAAAAGACAAUAUUCUCUUUGGUGUACUGUUACCCAAGAAGAGAGUCAACUAAUUUCUUCAUCAUUUUCUCUUUAGAUCAAUGUGCUUGAUCAGAAGUAGUGAAGCUAGGGAUGUGGUAUGACUUAAACUAAUGAAUUGGCUGCAAGCACAAUUUUACCUUGAAAAUGAUCUGAAGGGCCAAAGUCUAAAUUAGGAAUAUUCGAUCUCCUGUAAGCUUCUGAAAGUUAUUCAUACUGGCUACUCUGACAACUUAAAAUGUCAAUUAUAUUUGAGUUUGUAAUAAUUUCCUUUGUUGUGAAUCAGAUAAGGAAAUUGGGAGGUACCUGAUGGCUUGACCAAUCCACAUUGGACAAAUGGAACAGCACAAAACACAAGCAAUUAACCAGAGAUGUACAAAUUCAUUACGACUAAAUUUCUCUUAAGAGGCUCACAAUCAAUCAAAUAACACCUAAAUUGCAAAGACAAGUUGCUUAUAAUUAGAUAUUCAGCUUUUCUAAAGAGUGAAUCAUACAAUUCAUAGGUUUUCUGUUGUCUAAGCUUGCAUUACUGUGAUGAAUGAUGCAAAUACACAGGAUAGAAAUUAAAGUUCCUCUGGACCAUGCUUGACGAGCUGCAGGAUUUGAAUCUUAAAACUAGUGAAUUAUUAUCUUUUCCUUGCCUCACAUAUGACUGCACAAUUAAGUGGUGAUCAGAUGCUUGGACCAUAUUGUGAAGAGAAUGAUCAUGAGACUCACAUUAGUCAUCACUAAUGAUCUAAAAAACAAGGCUAAUAUACCUUCUCAAAGCCAAGCACCCUUUGCUCAAUCACAUGGACAUGCCAUUCUACUCCUCAUUCUACCUUGUUAGAUUAAGAUCCCAAAUCCAACAGUGACAUGGGAUACAACAUCCAAAGUUACUGCUUCUAGAAGUUAAAGGUACUCAUUCACUUCCCUUGUUCAAGAGAAUGAAGCUUAGCUCCCUAAGCAGGCAAGCCUCAAUAGGUUUUCAAUGCUCGAUCAUAUUAGACAGAAAACAACCAAGAUGGCAAAUAGUUGCCUUCUCUUUCAUACAAAUCUCAAGUAAUGGUGAAAUUUGAUACUGCAUUUUGAUCACUUAAGACUUAAAUUAGUCCUAGGUGUGUACUUGAUAUAUAGAUACAAGACUAGAGCCCGAUGGCAGAUGGGAGACUUAAUGGGUAAUGACUACAAAUUUUGUCUUUGUUCCCUUCAAAUAAAACAGAUUGGAAAAUUCACUACCUGAGGCCAAAAAAAUCCUCCAAACUUACCAAUGGAUGAUACCAAAUCAUAAAAUUAGGAACAAGGAAAGACAAAAAGAUGUUGUAGAGAACAGAAUGGCUCACAUUGACACAAGCUUUGGGCUGUCGUUCAGCAUUACCAUCCCAGCAGCUAACUCAGCAUCGAGUGGACUGAGGUGCAGGUCCCAUCAUUUGCUUCAAGCUGCAAAAAAUUGCAUAAGAUUUAUAAGAUUCAGGUGAAAUUUGAGACUUUCAAGAACAUGGCAUUUUCAUUUAUCAUUGAUCAAGUAACAGAAAGACAAUAACUAAUUUCCGGUUUUUAAGUCAUAAAACUAUUAAAGUACCUAGAAUAUAUCACACCUAGAAUAUAUCACAAAGAAGUAAUAUUAGUUUUCAGGUUUCUUGGUUGAUUUUGUUUCUUACAAUUUCUACCCUGAACAUUUUUUUCUUUUGUGAAUAACCUGCUAUCAGUUUCUAGUUAUGAGGUCAAGACACAGCACCUCAAAGUAUACAAGCUUGAACAACUUUCAUGACUGAAUAAUUAUCCCAUCCAGAAAGAAGUUUCAAUUGAUAAAGAAGGAUUGUCCUCCUCAAUCAAGGCUUCAUGAUAUCCUGGCCUAUGUGUUCUAUAUGUAGUUUUUCUUUAUUUGCUCAUGCUGACCUUUAGAUAGCUGUCUAUGUACACGCCUUGUGCUAAACUCCAAAGUCAAGCCGUCUCCGCAUGGUUCCUCCAUGAGUUAUUCCUACUAUGGUCAAUGACAAUGUUAUGUCAUCAUCAUAACUUCCCAAAGUUCCCAUUAAUUUCAUCCAUGUUAUUUUAAAUAUUUCCUCGAUUUCUCCUUUGACACCAAUCCAUGCUGUUCUAGGGUCCUGGUAAGAACAAAAUUGUUGAUCACUUUUACUUGUAAUAUAGGCUGGGAUGGAAUUCUCCACUAAAAACAAGUUAUCGAUAACCUAGAUAUCUCUUUGGAACAUGAUUUCCGAAGAGCAACCUUCUAGAAUGGUAAAGGAUUAGGGAAAGAUCUUACUCUGUAGAAGUGCUGCAGCAGAUUAGAGAAAGAGAUUUGCGUAUGAGAAUAAUAUAUUCUUUUAACAGCAAUCGAAGUUUGCAGACGCUAACUUUUUCUCCUUCCCAUUUCUCAGGCUUUUCACUCCCUCCUCUUUUUACCUGUGCUUGGCAACUUUUUUUCUGUCUUCAAACUAGUGAUCUUCCGUUCUUAUGCAGGUUUCUGAAAUGACAAUAUAUAUUGCUAUUGUGCUAACUCAACAACAGCAUCUCCUCUCACUGCUUAUAGCCUAGAAAGACAGUUCAAAUUCCAAUCUAUGGAACUGAAACACCUGAUUAAUUUUUGACCUAUCAAUCCUAUGUGCAGUUGCCCUAACACUGCUCUUAUCACAUAACAGCAAUUCUAAGAGCCAGUAACAUAGUGCGGCAAUAUGCUACUAUGCCAUAAGCAAUCACUUGUGCAUCCGUCACCGGAAAAGAUGAACUGAAUUCCUCAAUGAUGCGUGGUAUCCUAUUCAAUCAGUUGGUACUUAAAACGCCUACUUGCGCGAGGCAAGUUGGGUGUCAAAGUGAUCUAACAUGAAAGGAGAUGUGAAAUGUUUCUUAAAGAGCAGCAUUAAACUCGAUGCCACAAUGAAUUCUAGUUGAUGAGAAAUCAGAAACCAAAUCUUUACUAUCAAGCAUCAAAUCGGCCACAGGGGUACCGUUUCUUGUGGCGCUUCGAGCGGGAAUGCUCAUCCCGGACAUCCUCAUUAGCCGCCGCGUCCUCCGCCUGCUUCAGGAUCUCGUUGUAAACCUCAUCGUCGCGAGGUCAUCCGAGACCAAUUCCGUCAAGGAGAUCGGUACCCGAGGGGAUUGAGAGCGGAAGGCAGCAAAGAAUCAAAGGAAUUUGGGAUUGAGAAGCCGGCGCUUCUUCACCUUCCUGUGCGGACACUUCCCUCCCAUCUCUUCCGGCGCUUCUUAUCACUCGCUUGGGGAUCGUCGAGAAGGCGGCGGCAAAGGAGAGAGACGCGGAGGAACCCUAUGAGCCUGAGGAAGUGCUUUUGCAUACACCCUUCAAAAGCUUGGCAUUUGCGUUUAUUAUCGAUAGGACCGGGUUUGAGCCCAGGC
rnacentral:lncRNA from 1 species